GNAGAGCUUGCUCAGAUAUGACGAUGGACAUUGCAAAGAGUGGCGAACGGGUGAGUAACACGUGGGAAACCUACCUCUUAGCAGGGGAUAACAUUUGGAAACAGAUGCUAAUACCGUAUAACAAUAGCAACCGCAUGGUUGCUACUUAAAAGAUGGUUCUGCUAUCACUAAGAGAUGGUCCCGCGGUGCAUUAGUUAGUUGGUGAGGUAAUGGCUCACCAAGACGAUGAUGCAUAGCCGAGUUGAGAGACUGAUCGGCCACAAUGGGACUGAGACACGGCCCAUACUCCUACGGGAGGCAGCAGUAGGGAAUCUUCCACAAUGGGCGAAAGCCUGAUGGAGCAACGCCGCGUGUGUGAUGAAGGGUUUCGGCUCGUAAAACACUGUUGUAAGAGAAGAAUGACAUUGAGAGUAACUGUUCAAUGUGUGACGGUAUCUUACCAGAAAGGAACGGCUAAAUACGUGCCAGCAGCCGCGG
rnacentral:rRNA from 1 species